UACGUAGGGGGCAAGCGUUGUCCGGAAUUAUUGGGCGUAAAGCGCGCGUAGGCGGCCUGGCACGUCGGUUGUGAAAACCUGGGGCUCAACCCCGGGACUGCAACCGAUACGGGCAGGCUAGAAUUCGGUAGGGGAGACUGGAAUUCCUGGUGUAGCGGUGAAAUGCGCAGAUAUCAGGAGGAACACCGGUGGCGAAGGCGGGUCUCUGGGCCGAUAUUGACGCUGAGGAGCGAAAGCGUGGGGAGCGAACAGG
rnacentral:rRNA from 1 species